YUACGUGCCAGCAGCCGCGGUAAUACGGAGGGUGCAAGCGUUAAUCGGAAUUACUGGGCGUAAAGCGCACGCAGGCGGUCUGUCAAGUCGGAUGUGAAAUCCCCGGGCUCAACUUGGGAACUGCGUUUUGAACUGGGUAGCUAGAGUGUGUCAGAGGGGGGUAGAAUUCCACGUGUAGCGGUGAAAUGCGUAGAGAUGUGGAGGAAUACCGAUGGCGAAGGCAGCCUCCUGGGAUAACACUGACGUUCAUGCUCGAAAGCGUGGGUAGCAAACAGGAUUAGAUACCCUGGUAGUCCACGCCCUAAACGAUGUCAAUUAGCUGUUGGGCAACUUGAUUGCUUAGUAGCGUAGCUAACGCGUGAAAUUGACCGCCUGGGGAGUACGGUCGCAAGAUUAAAACUCAAAGGAAUUGACGGGGACCCGCACAAGCGGUGGAUGAUGUGGAUUAAUUCGAUGCAACGCGAAGAACCUUACCUGGUCUUGACAU
rnacentral:rRNA from 1 species